GACGUAGGGCGCGAGCGUUGUCCGGAUUUAUUGGGCGUAAAGGGCUCGUAGGCGGUUUGUCGCGUCGGGAGUGAAAACCUUGGGCUUAACUCAGGGCUUGCUUUCGAUACGGGCAGACUAGAGGUAUGCAGGGGAGAACGGAAUUCCUGGUGUAGCGGUGAAAUGCGCAGAUAUCAGGAAGAACACCGGUGGCGAAGGCGGUUCUCUGGGCAUGAUCUGACGCUGAGGAGCGAAAGUGUGGGGAGCAAACAGG
rnacentral:rRNA from 1 species